UAAUUCUUCUCUUUAUCAUGAGAAAGAAGCGGGAAGAAAGACUUCUUUCUAUUAUUCAGAACCCCAAACAUCAGCAUAUGUAGUCAACUGGAUUGUCACAGUCACCAAAGAACCCAAGUUCAGCCGACCUAGAGCAGUUCCUGAGCCAUCUGUUUGGAAAUGCUCCAAAGGAAAGAAUGAACCUGGCAAGAAUAGGAGAUUUUGGACGCAAACAGGAAACUGUGACAAAUACACUUCAGGAUCCUAUAAUGCACCAACUCCAAGGAAGAGAAAUCCACAGGCACAAACAUUCUCCAAGACUAAAACAACCAUUCAGCACCGAAAAGACAUGGAAGUGAACCACAAACGAGAAGGGUAUGAAGACAGGAGGGAGAUGAAGAAAGUACCUGAAUUCACAAGAACAACCUAAAUUGCAGAAAGAUAGGGGAAUUCUCAAGAGGAGAAACCAAACACGAUAAGAAUGCAAAUUCCAAAAAUAACACGUAGGAAGUACACUGUAACACUUCAAAAGUGAUUAAAUUUUAAUCCUUCA